UUUUGCUAUUUCUUGGGCUGCCCCCGCGGCAUAUGGAGGUUCCCAGGCUAGGGGUCGAAUCGGAGCUGUAGCUGCCAGCCUACGCCAGAGCCACAGCAACGCGGGAUCCGAGCUGCGUCUGCAACCUACACCACAGCUCACGGCAACGCCGGAUCGUUAACCCACUGAGCAAGGGCAGGGACCGAACCCUCAACCUCAUGGUUCCUAGUCGGAUUCGUUAACCACUGCGCCACGACGGGAACUCCAAUGUAGAUUUUUUAUUUCUUCAAGAAUCAGUCUUGGUAGGGUUGUUUUUGUAUUUUUAGAAAUACAUCCAUUUCAUCUAGGUUAUCCAACUUGUGUACAACUGCUCAUAGUCCUCUUUAUUUCUAUGGAAUUUUUAGUAAAGCCCCUUUUAUUUCUGUUUUUGUCUUCUUUUAUUACUGAUCUAAAGGUUUGUCCACUUUGUUAACAUUUUCAAAGAACUAGCUUUGGGUUCAAAGUUUUCCAUUGAUUUUCUAUUCUGUAUUUUUCUUAGUUUUAAUCUUCCUCCUACUACCUUUGGAUUUAGUCCAUUCUUUUUCUAGUUAAAGUUAGAAUGUUUUCAGAUUCUUUUUUUUUUUAUAGCUGUGGCUGGACCUACAGCAUAUGGAUGUUCCCAGAGCCAUUGCAGAGACAAUCACAAGUAGUAUACUAUGGGCCACAGGGGAAGUCUAGAUUUUGGUUUUUGUUUUUUGUUUUUUGAAGGCAAGGACUUAAGCUUGAAGUUUCCCUCUUAGUACAGCUUCUUCUGCAUCCCAUACGUUUUAUAUGUGAUGUUUUGCUUAAUAUAUUUUGAGGAUCUGUUAUUAGAUGUGUAUGUUUCCAACCGUUACCUCUUUCUUGUAUAAAAUCUUUUAACAUAAAAUGUCCUUUUCUGUCUCUCUAUAUCCAAAGAAGUUAUGUCUAUUUGUCCAAUUAUUAUAUACUACUCUCUUUUUAAUUAUUAUUUGCAUGCAAUAUAUUUAUUCAUCCUUUUACUUUUAACCUAUUUGGAACUGUAGUCAGUCUCUUGGAGAUUGUUAUGAUUGUUUAUUAAAAAUCAAUUUCAGGGGGAUUUCCCCUCAUGGCACAGCAGAAACGAAUCCCACCAGGAACUAUGAGGUUGUGGGUUCAAUCCCUAGCCUCACCCACUGGGUUAAGGAUCUGGCAUUGCUGUGAGCUGUGGUGUAGGUCAAGACACAGCUUGGAUCCCGAGUUGCUGUGGCUGUGGUGUAGGCCAGCAGCUAUAGCUCCAAUUCGACCCCUAGCCUGGUAACCCCCAUAUGCCACAGCUCUUGACAACGCCCAUCCUUAACCCACUGAGCGAGGGCAGGGAUCGAGUUUGAAUUCUCAUGGACACUAGUCAGGUUUGUAACCUGCAGACCCACAGUGGGAACUCCCUAACAGUUUUAUCGGUCUCCUUCAACUUUUGUCUGGCUAUGUUUCUCCCUCAUUCCUGAAUCACAGUUUUGCCAGAUAGAAGUUUUAGGUGACAGUUUUUAUUUUAGUACUUUGCUAUCUCAAACCACUGCUUUUUGGCCUCCAUGGUACCUGAUGAGAAAUCUGAUAAUCAUAAUGAAGAUUCUUUUAUGUGAUGAGUCUCUUUAUUCUUGCUGCUUUCAAGAUACUUUCUCUUUGGCUAGUUUAAUUAUACAGAUCUUCCUUGACUUACAGUAGGGUUACAUCUCAAUAAACCCAUGAUAAAUUCAAAUAGAUUGAAAAUGCAUUUAAUAUACCUGACCUACUGAACACCAUAGCUUAGCCUAUCCUAUCUGAAAUGUGCUCCAAUUAUAUUAGCCUGUAUUUGGGCAAAAUCAUUUACUAUCAAAGCCUAUUUUAAAGUCAUGUAAUUCACUGAAUACUGUACUGAAAAACAGAAUGAUAGUAUGGGAUAGAAUGGGUUUAAGUGUAUCAGAUGUUUAUCCUCAUGACCACACAGCUGACUGGGAGCUGCAGCUCACCACUACUGCCGUGCAUCACAAGUUAGCUCCCUCUUUUUUUUGUUUUUUGUUUGUUUUUUUGCUUUUUAGAGCUGCACCUGUGGCAUACGAAGGUAUGGAACGUCUCAGGCUAGUGGCCAAAUUGGAGCUGCAGCUGCCAGCCUACACAACUUGAGAUCCGAGCUGUAUCUGCAGCCUACAUCACAGCUCACAGCAAUGCCAGAUUCUUAACCUACUGAGUGAGGGCAGGGAUCAAACCCACAUCCUCAUGGAUACUAGUCAAGUUCGUUACCAGACUGAGUGAGGGCAGGGAUCAAACCCACAUCCUCAUGGAUACUUGUCAAGUUAGUUACCAGAGUCAGGUUCGUUACCGCCGAGCCACAGUGGGAAAUCCCAAAAGUGUAUAUUUUAUUGCACAUUGCUAGCCUGGGAAAAGAUCAAAAUUCAAAACUUGAAAUGUGCUUUCUACCAAAUGGACAUCACCAUGUCCUAGUGUAAAGUUGAAAACUUCAAGUCAAAUCCUCCCAAGUUGAGGACUGUCGGUAAUGUAUCUUGGAGUCUCUUUGGACUUUACCAUACUUAAGAGUUUGUUGAGCUUCUUGAUGUGAACAUCCACGUCUUACAUCAAACCUGGCAAGUUUUUUGUCAGUACUUCUUCAAAUAAUCUUCAUAUAGCUUUCUCUUUUCCUUCUGGAACUUCCAUAACACAUUUCUUGUUCCAUUUGAUGGUGUCUUACAAAUCCCUUAGAUUGUUUAUUUUCAGUGCCACUUCUUGUCUUUACAGCUUAGCUGGGUGUAAGGGCACUCCUAUAGUACUUAGCUAGGAUUCCUUCUAUCCUAGGAUCAGAAGAUGAAAGCUUCAGGUCUUAAAUCUUUCCUGAGCAGUUUUGCCUGUGCAUGCAUGUGGCAUUCUUUAUCUUCCCCUGUGUACAGCUGCUUUUGAAUGUCCAUUUUCUCAAAAAUCUCACUGCAGCAUAUCCUUUGGGCCUUAUUAGCCUGUUUUGUCUCUAUCCAUAAACUUUUGCUCCGGGCGCCUGUGAUACUGUAGUCAUCUUGCAGUUUUUACAAGCAGUGCCCACUUUUUCUUGCCCAAUUUCCAAGUUACGCAAAAUGAUGAUGAGCACCUUUGAGCCCAGACAGAUUAGAAAAGACAAACAAUAAUUUGCAAAUAAAGUCUGUUCUUCCUUCUCUGGUUUGAGGGAAGGAGCUGGGAACCAGGCUUCUGCCAUUUUAAGAAUAAAACCACCACUGCGCAAGGCAGGGCAGGGUGAGUAAAAAGUCACAAAACUUUCCUACCAAUCUGAUGAUGUGUGUUGUUCACUGAGCACUGUCUUGCUUGCUGUAAACCUCUGACUGUUUCCCAGAGCUCCAACAAAGUUGCUUCAUACAGUUGCUACUUUUUUCCCCCCUCCCUAGGGUUUCUGUGGAGAAACAAAAGCUUAGAGUAUCAUAGUUCACCAUUUUGCUGGUAUCACUCAGGUCAAUUGUGCUUAUACCUACCUGCAAUUUCAGUGUCCUGACUACCUAGGCUUUAGAUACAUGCAUAGCAACUGAAUUUUGGUUAGGCUUGGAAGCACUGUGUAAAUGUUAAGAAAAUGGUCUCAAAAUUAUCUUUGUUCUGAUCAUUCGCAUUUAAAAUUAAUGAAUAUAUAUUCUUUCCAAAUUCCUUGUGAUUAUCUUGCCUUUUUUGCUGGCUGUGAUGAUGACCAUCACUAGAGAACAGUAACUUUUAUAGAUACUGUUUAUGAAACGAAAUGCUCCAUAUACUCUUAGUACCAAAACAUUCAAUGAAGUUUACUGGCUUCUGCCAAUGUUUUCUACAAGUAGCAUAUAUUCUUCUAUCCUGUCCCCACUGUGGCAUAGGGCAGAUAUGAAAUAAAAACAUGUCUUGCAAGUAUUUCACUAUUUUUCUCUACAUGGCAUGAAUAUUAAAAUAACUUUCUGGUAAAAUUCCUUAUGUAGUAUAGGUAUUAGUUCAUUUAACAAGGAUGUUAUUACUAAUGUUUACUAUGUUUUGAAAUCUUAGGAUUCAUUAAUUCAUGAAUGUUAUUAACUCAUACUGUUUCUACAAAUGAAAACCAUGUCAGUUACUUAAAAUAUCAAUUUCAAGUGAAAAGGAUGUAGAGUCUUCUGUUUCCAUUAAAACUGAAUUUAUGAUGAUGUGCCUAGUCUAAUAUGGGUUAGACUGGGCACAAAAUGACAAAAGUAGAUUUUUUUCUCAAAAAUUUCUGCAGAAUGCAUAGGAAAUUCUGAUUUAUAAAAGUUUAUUUUACAUUCUUUGCAUGUUCAUUGUGUUAAAUUUACAGUAUAAAUUAGUGGCAAAACUUUUGCUAUCUGGCAUCUCUUACUAAGUUGAAAAAUUGGUAUAUUUAUCAAUGCUCCAAGUUUAAACAAAGUUGAGAAAAUAGUGACAUGGCCCUUCAUCAGUCUAGGUCACAGGUUAUUAAUUACAUCAACCUGUAGGGUGUCUGUUCUGAGGUCCUACUCCCCAGCUUCCCUCCUCUUCCUUAGAUUGCUAAUUGUUUUUUCAAGGAGUUUAUUCCUUGAAGCAGACUUUAACCAGGAAAACUGUAGCUGCUUUGAAAGCACAUAAAGGAAAUAAAUAUUUUUAAACAUCUUGAUUAAAUAAAGUAUCCUAUCAGUCGUAUCACUUGACAGGAGGCAGUUCAGACACUAAGGGUACAUCUUUAUUUUUUGUGCUCAUGUCAAUUUUUUCUACAUGAUCAUUUUUCAGUUUCAUAAAUGACUAAAACAGUUACCAUUCCUAGGAAUUUAGUAUUUUUCUAGGUGAAACAGUAAUUUUUCCUUUGAUGCUUUAAGACAAGCCUUUCAAAACUGUAAUAAAUUAUUUUUAACUUUGGUUA
rnacentral:lncRNA from 1 species